rnacentral:lncRNA from 1 species
UUUUUAGUAGAGACAGAGUUUCACCAUGUUGGCCAGGCUGGUCUUGAACUCCUGACCUCACGUGAGCCAACUGCCUGGGCCUCCCAAAGUGCUACUGAGAAGACCUUGAAAGCUAUUAAGCAAGGAAGGUGACAUGAACUGAUCUGAAUUUUAAAAGAUCACUAACUUUGAGUAGAAAAUGGAUGGUGUAGGGGUCGUAGAAUGGAAGUAGGCAGGUCAGUUGAGGAGGUCAUUGUAGAGAGAUGUUAGAUGAUGAUGGCUUAGACUAGGACAAUUGAAGUAGAAAUAGAGAGAAGUGGACAGCUACAUGGUGUUUUUUGUGGAAAUAGAGUCAAUAAGACUUUCUGCAGGGUUGGGGGGAGUCACAGAAAGGGCUAUCAGCAAUGACUUUCAGAUUUUUUCAUGAAUUGAGUUAGAAAAGAUUAAGGGAGAAGCAGACUUAGGUAGGGCAGGUCAAAUGAAGAGUUCUGCUUUGUCCAUGUUAAGUACCCGUUAGACAUCCAAGAGGAAUUGUCAGGUAGGAGCUACAUUUAUGAGUCUGGCAUUCCAGAGAGAGGUCAGGGCUGGAGAUAAAGAUAAAUAAAGAUUUUGGAAUCAAUAACGUAUAGGUCUCACCACCCCUUUCCACUCACACCUCCAUCCCUCUGUGCUCUCUUGCGUUUCCCCCAACAGUCCUCUCUCAAGCUAUUUUCUUACAGCUUCACAUUUCUUCCAGACCAGGGAGUCUUCCCCAAUUUUGUCAUUCUCUGGAAACCUCUCUGUUAUGGAACCUGCCCAUACCACCUUUACUCCUCAGCCUUGCAAUUGUUGCUUUUCAUUUAUGUAUGAAAACAUGCAAUUACCCAGAUAAACUGAAAGGGAUGAGCAGGGGUGGGGGCAGAUUUGGAUACUAAGAGGAGCUGAUGAAGCUCCUCUUCAGAUUUGGAUCGGCUCUGAAGUCACUGCUAAGUGGUGGGGACGGUGGAGCCUGAAAAGAAAAUGGAAUGGGGAGUUAGCACACGAGUGGGUUUGUUGCUACUCUCUUUGAGGCCAAAAGGAUUUUUUGGUACCUUUCUUAGGGAUAUCAUAGUUUGAGAUACCAUGAAAGAUGUUCAGGCAGAGCCUUUUCAACGAAAUCACCUUGCUGUGGUCUUCACAGAGUCUAGUUAAUAGAAGUUUUGCACUGGCUGGGUGUGGUGGCUCACUCCUGUAAUCCCAGCACUUUGGGAGGCUGAGACGGG